rnacentral:rRNA from 1 species
GUUGAACGCUGGCGGCGUGCCUAAUACAUGCAAGUCGAGCGAACGGACGCGAAGCUUUCUUCUCUGAUGUUAGCGGCGGACGGGUGAGUAACAAGUGGAUAACCUACCUAUAAGUCUGGGCUAACUUCGGGAAACCGGAGCUAAUACCGGAUAAUAUUUUGAACCGCAUGGCUCAAAACUGAAAGACGGUCUUGCUGUCACUUAUAGAUGGAUCCGCGCUGCAUUAGCUAGUUGGUAAGGUAACGGCUUACCAAGGCAACGAUGCGUAGCCGACCUGAGAGGGUGACCGGCCACACUGGAACUGAGACACGGUCCAGACUCCUACGGGAGGCAGCAGUAGGGAAUCUUCCGCAAUGGGCGAAAGCCUGACGGAGCAACGCCGCGUGAGUGAUGAAGGUCUUCGGAUCGUAAAACGCUGUUAUUAGGGAAGAACAUAUGUGUAAGUAACUGUGCACAUAUUGACGGUACCUAAUCAGAAAGCCACGGCUAACUACGUG